AGAGUUUGAUCCUGGCUCAGAGUGAACGCUGGCGGUAGGCCUAACACAUGCAAGUCGAACGGCAGCACAGGAGAGCUUGCUCUCUGGGUGGCGAGUGGCGGACGGGUGAGGAAUACAUCGGAAUCUACUCUGUCGUGGGGGAUAACGUAGGGAAACUUACGCUAAUACCGCAUACGACCUACGGGUGAAAGCAGGGGACCUUCGGGCCUUGCGCGAUUGAAUGAGCCGAUGUCGGAUUAGCUAGUUGGCGGGGUAAAGGCCCACCAAGGCGACGAUCCGUAGCUGGUCUGAGAGGAUGAUCAGCCACACUGGAACUGAGACACGGUCCAGACUCCUACGGGAGGCAGCAGUGGGGAAUAUUGGACAAUGGGCGCAAGCCUGAUCCAGCCAUACCGCGUGGGUGAAGAAGGCCUUCGGGUUGUAAAGCCCUUUUGUUGGGAAAGAAAUCCAGCUGGCUAAUACCCGGUUGGGAUGACGGUACCCAAAGAAUAAGCACCGGCUAACUUCGUGCCAGCAGCCGCGGUAAUACAAAGGGUGCAAGCGUUACUCGGAAUUACUGGGCGUAAAGCGUGCGUAGGUGGUCGUUUAAGUCCGUUGUGAAAGCCCUGGGCUCAACCUGGGAACUGCAGUGGAUACUGGGCGACUAGAAUGUGGUAGAGGGUAGCGGAAUUCCUGGUGUAGCAGUGAAAUGCGUAGAGAUCAGGAGGAACAUCCAUGGCGAA
rnacentral:rRNA from 1 species